UACGUAGGUGGCAAGCGUUGUCCGGAAUUACUGGGUGUAAAGGGAGCGUAGGCGGGGCGGCAAGUCAGAAGUGAAAAUUAUGGGCUCAACUCAUAACCUGCUUUUGAAACUGUUGCUCUUGAGUGAAGUAGAGGCAAGCGGAAUUCCUAGUGUAGCGGUGAAAUGCGUAGAUAUUAGGAGGAACACCAGUGGCGAAGGCGGCUUGCUGGGCUUUUACUGACGCUGAGGCUCGAAAGCGUGGGGAG
rnacentral:rRNA from 1 species